UAGGGAAUAUUGGACAAUGGGGGCAACCCUGAUCCAGCCAUGCCGCGUGAGUGAAGAAGGCCCUCGGGUUGUAAAGCUCUUUUGUCCGGAAAGAAAAGCAUUCGGUGAAUACCCGGAUGUUCUGACGGUACCGGAAGAAUAAGCACCGGCUAACUUCGUGCCAGCAGCCGCGGUAAUACGAAGGGUGCAAGCGUUACUCGGAAUUACUGGGCGUAAAGCGUGCGCAGGCGGUGUUGUAAGACAGAGGUGAAAUCCCCGGGCUCAACCUGGGAACUGCCGUUGUGACUGCAAAGCUGGAGUGCGGCAGAGGGGGAUGGAAUUCCGCGUGUAGCAGUGAAAUGCGUAGAUAUGCGGAGGAACACCGAUGGCGAAGGCAAUCCCCUGGGCCUGCACUGACGCUCAUGCACGAAAGCGUGGGG
rnacentral:rRNA from 1 species